rnacentral:rRNA from 1 species
AGUGAACGCUGGCGGCAGGCCUAACACAUGCAAGUCGAACGGAUCCUUCGGGAUUAGUGGCGGACGGGUGAGUAACACGUGGGAACGUGCCCUUUGGUUCGGAACAACUCAGGGAAACUUGAGCUAAUACCGGAUGUGCCCUUCGGGGGAAAGAUUUAUCGCCAUUGGAGCGGCCCGCGUCUGAUUAGCUAGUUGGUGAGGUAAAGGCUCACCAAGGCGACGAUCAGUAGCUGGUCUGAGAGGAUGAACAGCCACAUUGGGACUGAGACACGGCCCAAACUCCUACGGGAGGCAGCAGUGGGGAAUCUUGCGCAAUGGGCGAAAGCCUGACGCAGCCAUGCCGCGUGAAUGAUGAAGGUCUUAGGAUUGUAAAAUUCUUUCACCGGGGACGAUAAUGACGGUACCCGGAGAAGAAGCCCCGGCUAACUUCGUGCCAGCAGCCGCCGUAA